GCUGGGCAUGGUGGCGUGUGCCUGUAAUCCCAGCUACUGGGGAGGCUGAAGCAGGAGAAUGGCUUGAACCCAGGAGGCUUAGGUUGCAGGGAGCCGAGAUUGUGCCACUGCACUCCAGCCUGGGCGAUAAAGUGAGACUCUGUCUCAA
rfam:Gorilla gorilla gorilla genomic chromosome, chr4, whole genome shotgun sequence